CAGGUACUGGACUCACCCAACACACUGACCUGUUAGAGCCUCUAGCCUUCCACACACAGGUACUGGACUCACCCAACACACUGACCUGUUAGAGCCUCUAGCCUUCCACACACAGGUACUGGACUCACCCAACACACUGACCUGUUAGAGCCUCUAGCCUUCCACACACAGGUACUGGACUCACCCAACACACUGACCUGUUAGAGCCUCUAGCCUACCACACACAGGUACUGGACUCACUCAACACACUGACCUGUUAGAGCCUCUAGCCUUCCACACACAGGUACUGGACUCACCCAACACACUGACCUGUUAGAGCCUCUAGCCUUCCACACACAGGUACUGGACUCA